rnacentral:misc_RNA from 1 species
AAAGUGCGACAAGUGUCACGACUUGCAGAUUCCCGGGAGCUGACAACUUUCUGAAUGCAAAUUGCGGACCGACUCUCUGCCCUGUCGGCCAUGUGUUGCAGAGUGUUGUUGCCUUGUGCACUACAUCUCUCUGGUGCCUUCGAAAGAAGCGCCAGGAGGAUUCGGGGUUGAGCAGAAAGAAGGGUCUUCCCUCGGACUUGCUCCUCGGGACCUAACGACUCCAUCUGGACUGCUCAGCUCUGAGAUUUGCGCAAGCUCGACGUCAAAGACGAGCCUGCCUUGAUUGUCUCCUGGUCCUCCAGGCACACAACAGGCAGAGCACCACCAAGUCUUUCGUACGAAGCUCGCUGCCUCAUUCCUCUCUUGCUGACCUCUGCAACAUAAGAAAACCCGCUGAACU